rnacentral:misc_RNA from 1 species
CAAUCAAAAUGGUCUUCAUGCUUCUUCAGCAGUUUGGCAUUUCUCGAGCCCAAGUUAAAUCAAAAUGAAUUGUGAUGUAGCCUGAAAAGAGGGGCAUUUUUAUACAGUUGUAGCUGCUGUUGCCAGGGAUUAGUUGGGCAAACUAGUUGAUGAUAUAACUUAGAAAUGCAUUUAUUCCCCUCCACUAUCAGGGGAAGCACGAGCCUUGUUAUGUGGAAUCAAACUGGG